CACGUAGGGGACGAGCGUUGUCCGGAUUCAUUGGGCGUAAAGCGCGCGUAGGCGGCUCGGAAAGUCGGUCGUGAAAUGCCGGGGCUCAACCCCGGGACUGCGUCCGAUACUCCCGAGCUGGAGGCAGGUAGGGGAGAUCGGAAUUCCUGGUGUAGCGGUGAAAUGCGCAGAUAUCAGGAGGAACACCGGUGGCGAAGGCGCACAUCUGGCCCGAUACUGACGCUGAGGCGCGAAAGCGUGGGGAGCAAACAGG
rnacentral:rRNA from 1 species